UCUCGGCAAAUUAUCCUCAUAAGUUAGACGAUAAGAGGUACCUUCUAUGAUUUUAAAUUUAUUAAGAAAUUCUUUUUUCUCUUUUGGAGUUGAAAGGAUUAAUUCUAAAUUUAUAGAUAGGAGGUGGCACAGAAUCGGAGGCCCCGACUGUUUACUAAAAACACAACACAGUGCAAUCAUUAAUGUGGUAGUAUACUGUGUGAAAUUUGCCCAAUGCCAUUAAUAUAAAAGCGGUCAUAGGAAACUGUGACUAAUUGAAAGUCUGGUUAAUAGCGGUCUUAACCAUGAGGAUCCUAAGGUAGCAAAAUAAAUUGGCCAUUAAAUGUGGUCCGGUAUCAAUAAUGUAACGAUGGCCUCACUGUCUCUACAACUUGCUCAGUGAAAUUGAAUUACGCGUGCAGAUGCGCGUUACCUCCAGUGGGACGGGAAGACCCUAUGCAGCUUCUACUGA
rnacentral:rRNA from 1 species